UGGGGAAUUUUCCGCAAUGGGCGAAAGCCUGACGGAGCAAUACCGCGUGAGGGAUGACGGCCUGUGGGUUGUAAACCUCUUUUCUCAAGGAAGAAGUUCUGACGGUACUUGAGGAAUAAGCAUCGGCUAACUCUGUGCCAGCAGCCGCGGUAAUACAGAGGAUGCAAGCGUUAUCCGGAAUCACUGGGCAUAAAGCGUCUGUAGGUUGCUUGCCAAGUCUGCUGUUAAAGACUAGGGCCUAACCCUGGGAAAGCAGUGGAAACUAGCAGGCUUGAGUGUGGUAGAGGUAGAGGGAAUUCCUGGUGUAGCGGUGAAAUGCGUAGAUAUUAGGAAGAACACCAAUGGCGAAAGCACUCUGCUGGGCCACAACUGACACUGAGAGACGACAGCUAGGGGAGCA
rnacentral:rRNA from 1 species